UUAAUAAAUAUAAAAUGAUUAUAAAAGAGUAAACUUUUUCAAUUUUUAAAAAAUAUCCCUGAUUCAAAUUACCACCACUAUCUUCAAUUGGGUUGAGAUGAGAGAAAAAAAAUGGUGGAGUGAUGACAGAGAAAAUGUUUGAGAUGAGAGAGAAAAUAUCUUUGAUGACAAAAGUUUUUUUUUUUUUGAAUUGGGGCAACAGUUGAGAUGACAGAGAAAAUGUUGGAGGGAGAGAGAUGAAAGAGAAAGGGUUGAGAGGAAUGAGGGAGGUGAGUAAGGGUUUGGGGGUUCUUUUUUUUAGUUUUGAGAAUGAAAAUUAUUUAAAUAUCCUUGACCUUAAAACUUAGAAUCCAUAAUAAAUGAGGGUAUUUUUGUCUACUAUAAUCCGUUAUACAUUGGUAAAACGUAACAACUGAAAAACAGGC
rnacentral:lncRNA from 1 species